rnacentral:rRNA from 1 species
UACGUAGGGGGCAAGCGUUGUCCGGAAUUAUUGGGCGUAAAGAGCGUGUAGGCGGUCCGGUAAGUCGGCUGUGAAAGUCCAGGGCUCAACCCUAGGAUGCCGGUCGAUACUGCCGGACUAGAGUUCGGAAGAGGCGAGUGGAAUUCCCGGUGUAGCGGUGAAAUGCGCAGAGUAUCAGGAGGAACACCGGUGGCGAAGGCGGAUCUCUGGGCCUUACCUGACGCUCGAGGCACGAAAGCUAGGGGAGCGAACAGG